AGAAGGCAAGACUCAGGGAUGGACUCCACCAUGGCCUGGUCCCCUCUCCUGCUCAGCCUCCUGGCUCACUGCACAGGCUCCUGGGUCCAGGCUGUGCUGACUCAGCCACCCUCAGUGUCUGGGAACCCAGGACAGACUGUCACCAUCUCCUGCACUGGAAGCAGCACCAACAUCGGGCGUGGUUCCCAUGUCGGCUGGCACCAACAGGUCCCAGGAAAACCCCCUAAAACCGUCAUCCUUAGUACUAGCAGUAGACCCUUGGGGAUCCCUGACCGCUUCUCUGGAUCCAAGUCUGGCAGCAUGGGCACCCUGACCAUCACUGGGCUCCAGGCUGAGGACGAGGCCGACUAUUACUGUUCAGCAUGGGAUAAUAGUGUCAGUGCUCCCACAGUGCUGCAGGGCCGUGGGGAAGUGAGACAAAAACCUGCUGUCCCCUGCAAUCCCAGGGAGAGGCCUGUGUCCUGGCUGAACCAGCCCCGAAGCACCUCGGGCUGUGGCCGGCAGUUGGUGCUGGGAAAUGACCACGUGUGA